rnacentral:lncRNA from 1 species
CCCUAAUUUUCAUCAGAAUCAACAUUUUUGCAUCAAUCCUCAGAGAUUCGUGUGAAUCUUCAUCACCGGAUUGAAGAUUUUCCUGCAAUUCCAAGUGCGAGCUCACAUUGAAGCAAGCUCAAGCACUGAUCACAGGGUUUCCUCACGUAAAUCUGAGAAACAUUGAAGCAAGCUCAAGCACGUAAUCACAGAGAAGCAGAGAAAGAAUCAGAGAAGAUGAAGAAGAGGAACCGGUAAACCGAUUUAUUUUCGGUCCAAAAAGCAAGCAGAAGGAUCAAAAUCAUCAGGAACAUUCAAACUGAUUUUCCUCCAUUAAAGUUUCAACCAAAACUUCAGGUAAAACUCAUUUCCUCUUUUUCAAAAGUAAUAUCACCGUUAAACCUAAAAAUCACGCAAGCAAAACAGAUCCAAAGGUUCCAGAAUUCAAAGAAAACUAUAACCGUAAACAUCAAAAUCUAGAUCCGUAAGGAUCAACGUUUUGAAAGCGAGAACGAGCGUCAAAGAAGUAAUCAAACGACGAAACGAUGUAGAUCUUUAAAGAUCUAAACGAUCUCGUUCAAAAAUCAAAAAUCAUUUCAAAACCGUAAAAGUUUGUUCCAAGAUCUACGUCGUUUCAAGUCGUAUUUGAAAAAACAAAUGCUGGAUUCGUGUUUAGGGUUAAAGGACGAAUCAGAAUAUGCAAAAAUCUUUAAGUUCUGGAAUUUUUAGGUAACCGGAAGUUCAUAGUCUCGCCGGAGAAGAUGAAGUUUCCGGCGGACCUUCAAGGUCUCCGCCGUCACUUCAUCCUCACCGGCGGUGAAGGUUAGAGAGAGAUGAGAGAAGAGAGAAGAGUUAGAGAGAGAAAGGAUUUUGCAAAAUGAAAAAACCGGAGCUCCUCCCUUUAUAUAGCCAGUGAACCGGACCGGUCCAAUCCGGUCCAUUCCCCUUUGAUUCCUGGCCGUUUGAUCUAGGGUUCCAGGAUCCUGGAUCAAUCGUGUGGUCUCUGUACUUCCCUGCGUUUUGGCUUUGGGCUUUGGGUUUGGGCUUAUUUUUCUGCACAUUUCUUGCUUUUUUCCUGCUAUUUGCACCCUAUCUCUUUGCUAUUUGAACCAAUGUUUUGAUUAAAAAUCUUGAUAAAUUUCCUAGAAAAUCCAUGCUUACUUCUUGACAUUUUCUUGAUGUUUUAUGGUAUUUUUGCACAUUGGAAUUGGCAAAAUUCUUGUAUGAUUAAUCCAUGGCAUUUUAACUCUUUCUUGGAUUAUUUCUUAUGA